rnacentral:rRNA from 1 species
UACAGAGGUCUCAAGCGUUGUUCGGAUUCAUUGGGCGUAAAGGGUGCGUAGGCGGUCUGACAAGUCUGAUGUGAAAUCUAUGGGCUCAACCCAUAGUCUGCAUCGGAAACUGUCGGGCUUGAGUAUGGGAGAGGUGAGUGGAAUUUCCGGUGUAGCGGUGAAAUGCGUAGAUAUCGGAAGGAACACCUGUGGCGAAAGCGGCUCACUGGACCAUUACUGACGCUGAGGCACGAAAGCUAGGGGAGCAAGCAGG